AUAACAACUAUAAGUGUAAAAAGGCCCACCUACAGGAGGUUCUGAAGUGCCCAUUCUAAGACUCUUAAACAAUAAUAUGGGCUUAAAACAGUUUUAAUCAAGGCUUGCUCUAGAUCUCUCUAGAUAAUCAUGUUCUUUCUGCACUGAACAAAAGGUUCGUAAUUUUUUUUUAUCCGGAAAAGAGUUUUACAAUGGCAAUAAUUAAAAUCAAAUAAUCUUACCGAAUCAAAAACUAAUUGAAUGAUUUUUUUUCAACCACGACCCAAAAAUAACCUUUCAUAUACAUUCUAAACAUCACAAUCGAUAUUUUUGGUAACGUUAUGGAUAAAUAUGUUGCGCUUUUAAUUUGAUCGAUUAGUUUUUCGAGAAACUUAUAUAUAAACUGCGCGCCCUUGUAAAUUUCAAAAAUAGAAGAUUUUAUGAGAUAUUUUAUGGAAUAAUAAAUUGUUCAAAUUUAUUUCAGCUAUUGUAUUCUAGUUUGCUACGUCAAUAUUUAAUCAAAUAUCCAAUUAAAAUAAUUUAACUAGGCGCAAUUGAUGGUAAAUAAUGGUUUUUAUUAUAAUAUUCGAUGAGAAAUCACAUUUAAACUUUCAUGAUUUCAUUUAAAAAUGGCGAUUCCUUGAAAUCAUCUCUUUGACUUGACGAAAUCUGCUAUGAAUCUAACAACUCUGGAUAAAUGUCAUUUCAAGUACAAAUGUUCUUCCAAAAAACAGUUUGGCACCUUAUAGAACCAAACGAUCUUUUGACGGAUCUUUAUAAGGGUUCUUAUUUCAGUGCAGCUGACGGUGCGACAAAAAAGAAAACAAAACAAUCAAGAUAAACGAAAACUGCAAAAUUGCGAUCAAAAAAUAUUUUAUUUAUCGGUCUCGUAACUGAAAGAUUCGAGUACCUUAUUCUACGGUUUGGUGAUCUGGAGAAGUGGAGAAGGAUUUUGCCCAGCCAUCGAUCGGGAUCAUAGCACAAAAGUUGCAGGAAUGUUUCUGAAUUGCGAGGUUUUUCCGCUAAAUUGUAUCCGGAACAGAAUGUCAUCAUUUGUUGCGAAAAGAAAACGUCCGCCGGAAUUCUAAAACCAGCUGGGAAAUCACUAAGAAUCUGGGAACAUAACAUGAAACCUCGGAAGCAGGAAGUUUUCAAUUCAAGGUAGAAUCUACUGGUGCGAAAUACUCGAAUGCUGACUGGAACUGAAGAAUGGAUAAUUAUAACAGGAAUGAUUACCGGUUUCCGUGCAACGUGAUUUUUCGGUACAAGCAAUGGUUUUAGUUGUGAAAUAAAAGUGUAGAUAAUGUGAAAA